rnacentral:sRNA from 1 species
GAGCCCUUUCAAUAAAGAGUUUGUUUCUUUACCGAAAGCAUAAAGGGUAGUGCAAGAAGAGGCACACAGAACCAAGCUUGUGCACUUUCUAAAGUGAAAAACUUUAGAAGGAAUGUCUUGCCUGGCAGGUGCCCUGACGUCCUCCGUGCAUGUCCUCCCCCAACCUCAUGUGUCUCAUGCAGCACUGCAGUGAGGCAGGGUGGAUCCUGCAGGUUCAGAGGGGUUGUGAUCCACCUGAAGUCACAGUCGGGCAGGGUGUGCCAGAGUUGAAACUGCCGACCUUCCAGAUAGAGUUCACUAGUUUCCCCCUGGCAUAUACCUUUUCGGUUGUCAAGGCCAUUAUCACAGAGUCACUUUAGAGGACACUGGGGCUACUGUUGAUGGUUCACCCAGAGAGCCACUUAGAGGCCAUGUGCACUGCCUGAUCUUACACCCAGGAAUUUGUAGUUGUAACAAGGUCCCUGCGGGACUUCCAUUUGCUUCUGUCUUCUGUCCUAGAAGCGGACUUUAGAAAGACUCUUGUGGUAGACAUGUGUACUGCUGUGUUGCUGCUGGCCUAAUGUCUUCAACACAUAUUCUUAGUGACUCUUAACACUUUUAACCUUAGAUUGUGAAUAUUCACAAUUUUACUUGUCAUAGUCUGUUUAUUCUCUUUACCUUCUAUGCUGUUUUUAAAAGCAAUACAAACAGAAGCUAGAGUAACCAGUGUUUUGUCUGACACAUUCUUCUUGAUAAACUUUAUAAGGUGUGGUUUAUAUUCGUCUGUACCUUUAGUCACGUGCCUGCUUCUUAGCACAGAGUUGAUGAAACCACCCACAGCUUUGCUGGGGGUAUUAUAUUUCUGUAUUUUUUUGUUUUUUAGCCCAUCACAACAUUGAUAGCUGAUGUUGAAAUUGCUUGAGCAUCAGGAUACUCAAAGUGGAAAGGAUCACAGAUUUUUGGUAGUUUCUGGGUCUACAAGGACUUUCCAAAUCCAGAGCAACGCCAGUGGCAACGUAGUGACUCAGGCGGGCACCAAGGAAACCGCACCAUUGGUCUCUGGGUAGUGCUUUAAGAAUGAACACAAUCACAUUAUAGUCCAUGGUCCAUCACUAUUCAAGGAUGACUCCCUCCCUUCCUGUCUAUUUUUGUUUUUUACUUGUUUACACUGAGUUUCUAUUUAGACACUACAACAUAUGGGGUGUUUGUUCCCAUUGGAUGCAUUUCUGUCAAAACUCUAUCAAAUGUGAUGGCUAGGUUCUAACAUAUUGCCAUGUGUGGAGUGUGCUAAACACACACCAGUUUACAGGAAAGAUGCAUUUUGUGUACAGUAAACGGUGUAUAUACCUUUUGUUACCACAGAGUUUUUUAAACAAAUGAGUAUUAUAGGACUUUCUUCUAAAUGAGCUAAAUAAGUCACCAUUGACUUCUUGGUGCUGUUGAAAAUAAUCCAUUUUCACUAAAAGUGUGUGAAACCUACAGCAUAUCCUUCGCGCAGAGAUUUUGAUCUAUUAUACUUUAUCAAAGAUUGGCCAUGUUCCACUUGGAAAUGGCAUGCAAAAGCAAUCAUGGAAACCUGUGUAACUCCAUCUGGCAAAUUCAAAAGAGAGAGAGAGAUCUUGAGAGAAAGAAAUGCUGUUCAUUCAAAAGUGGAGUUGUUUUAACAGAGGCCAAUUACGGUGUACAGUUUAACAGAGUUUUCUGUUGCAUUAGGAUAAACAUUAUUUGGAGUGCAGCUAACAUGAAUAUCAUCAGACUAGUAUCAAGUGUUCUAAAAUGAAAUAUGAGAAGAUCCUGUCACAAUUCUUAGAUCUGGUGUCCAGCAUGGAUGAAACCUUUGAGUUUGGUCCCUAAAUUUACAUGAAAGCACAAGGUAAAUAUCCAUUUGCUUUAGGAUUUUCAUGUUGGAUCUGUCAUUAUCAAAAGUGAUCAGCAAUGAAAAACUGGUCGGACAAAAUUUAACACUGACGUAAUGAAAUUCCAGAUGUAGGCAUUCCCCCAGGUCUUUUCAUGUGCAGAUUGCAGUUCUGAUUCAUUUCAAUAAAAAGGAACUUGGAAAA